UACGUAGGGUGCAAGCGUUAUCCGGAAUUACUGGGCGUAAAGAGCUCGUAGGUGGUUUGUCGCGUUGUCCGUGAAAACUCACAACUCAAUUUGUGGGCGUGCGGGCGAUACGGGCAGACUGGAGUACUGCAGGGGAGACUGGAAUUCCUGGUGUAGCGGUGGAAUGCGCAGAUAUCAGGAGGAACACCGGUGGCGAAGGCGGGUCUCUGGGCAGUAACUGACGCUGAGGAGCGAAAGCGUGGGGAGCGAACAGG
rnacentral:rRNA from 1 species